rnacentral:rRNA from 1 species
GACGAACGCUGGCGACGUGCUUAACACAUGCAAGUCGAACGGAAAGGCCCCCAUCUUGGUGGGGGUGCUCGAGUGGCGAACGGGUGAGUAACACGUGGGUGAUCUGCCCUGUACUUCGGGAUAAGCUUGGGAAACUGGGUCUAAUACCGGAUAGGACCAUGGUUUAGUGUCUCAUGGUGGAAAGAUUAUUGUUUUGGUGCAGGAUGAGCUCGCGGCCUAUCAGCUUGUUGGUGGGGUAAUGGCCUACCAAGGCGUCGACGGGUAGCCGGCCUGAGAGGGUGGACGGCCGCAUUGGGACUGAGAUACGGCCCAGACUCCUACGGGAGGCAGCAGUGGGGAAUAUUGCACAAUGGGCGCAAGCCUGAUGCAGCGACGCCGCGUGGGGGAUGACGGCCUUCGGGUUGUAAACUCCUUUCGUUAGGGACGAAGCCGCACUUUUUUUGGGUGUGGUGACGGUACCUUUGUUAAGAAGCACCGGCUAACUACGUG